AGUCGUAAUAAAUACGACUGAAUUUUGUCAAAUCGAGCUCAGUCAAGUGUAACGAAAAUAAGAUUAUCAACAAUGAAAAUAUUUUUUUUUUUUGUCGGAAUUGUCUACAUUUUCUGUGGCAUUUAUCCGGCGUACAGUGGCGAAACGCCGGAUUAUUUACUAGAUGGAAAUGAAUGGAUGCUGGAUCGUGAACGCAGAUGUUUCAAUGAGGGCUAUCAUCGCUGUUUGUUGGAUACGAGUCAUCUAUCAUAUCAAGUCGUAGAAUGUUGUCCUGAAUUGAUUUGUAGCAAAGUGGAAGGAAAUAGUGAGGAAGAUACAGGAAAAUGCGUUUCGAAACCAGAUGAUUAAAUGAGUUAUGACGCUUACGAAUUGUUUUACAUUGAACAUUAAAUGCUAAUAAAUUAAAUUAAAAUUAAUAUUUAAAUGAGGUACAC